rnacentral:rRNA from 1 species
CCCUUAGAUGUUCUGGGCCGCACGCGUGCUACACUGAGUGGAUCAGCGGGUCAGGUUGCGCGAAAGUGUUUCCUAAUCUUGAAAUCCGCUCGUGAUGGGGAUUGACGGUUGCAAUUUUCCGUCAUGAACGAGGAAUACCUUGUAAGCGCGGGUCAUCAUCCCGCGCUGAAUACGUCCCUGCCCUUUGUACACACCGCCCGUCGCUCCUACCGAUUGAGUGGUCCGGUGAGGCUUUGGGACCUGAGCAAAAAGAGCGUUUCGCUCGUUUGGCUCGGAAAACUCAGUCGAACCUUAUCAUUUAGAGGAAGGAGAAGUCGUAACA